rnacentral:rRNA from 1 species
UAACACAUGCAAGUCCAACGAUGAACUGGUGCUUGCACUGGGGAUUAGUGGCGAACGGGUGAGUAACACGUGAGUAACCUGCCCUUGACUCUGGGAUAAGCCUGGGAAACUGGGUCUAAUACCGGAUAUGACUCCUCAUCGCAUGGUGGGGGGUGGAAAGCUUUUGUGGUUUUGGAUGGACUCGCGGCCUAUCAGCUUGUUGGUGGGGUAAUGGCCUACCAAGGCGACGACGGGUAGCCGGCCUGAGAGGGUGACCGGCCACACUGGGACUGAGACACGGCCCAGACUCCUACGGGAGGCAGCAGUGGGGAAUAUUGCACAAUGGGCGGAAGCCUGAUGCAGCGACGCCGCGUGAGGGAUGACGGCCUUCGGGUUGUAAACCUCUUUCAGUAGGGAAGAAGCCGCAAGGUGACGGUACCUGCAGAAGAAGCGCCGGCUAACUACGUGCCAGCACCCGCGGUAAUACGUAGGGCGCAAGCGUUAUCCGGAAUUAUUGGGCGUAAAGAGCUCGUAGGCGGUUUGUC